CUCUAUAUCCCUUCUAUAAACUCUAUUUCACCGAUGUUCAACCCACGUUCACAGAUUCACCGAUCUUUUCCGCUUAAGAACCCAACCCAGUUUGGGUGUUUUCCGAUUCUCACUGCAUUCUCACUUACGCAUUUCUCUGUUUAUUGUCUUCUCGCCUAAGCGACAAUCGAUUCCCACUUAAACUUAUCUUGUCGUUGUGGAUUUCCGAAUUUUGAAGCUACAAUUGAAUACAUGCCUUCUGAAUCAUAUCCAAAAAUCAAGUUGCUUAUGCGAGAAUCGACGAGAGGCCAUGGAAUCCAAAUGAAGACUGCAACUAUGUUGUUGCUGCUCAUGGUCAGUCACGACGAUGGAGACAAGGAGAUUGUCGCAUCUUCCUGUGUGAAAAAACUUGGGAAAGAAUUGAAUUUUGAUUUGCACAUGCCUGAGAGUGUUACAGUUCCUACCUUUAGAGUGGUGUAUACAAUCACCAUUAAAAGAUACGUUUUUAACCUUAUCUGAACUGUAAAUUGCUUUCAUUGAUUGUCGUUCUGGUUUUAUUUUUAAAUAAAACUUUCACCUAUUAGAGUUUACUUACUUUAUUAUGCUAUGAUUUGAAUUAUUGAAUUGGUGGAGAUGUAGGUAGGAUUCGAGAUGCUAAAUCAGGAACUAAAGUAGUGUCUAUUUGCAUUGCCUACCAGGUGUUUGAUAGAUUGCUUCUACAGUUAAUUGUUGGUUAAUCGUAUCUGAAAAUGAACCACCGUACGUAUAAGGCAUUUGAAGCCACCUCCUACCUUUUCCUAAUUUCCUCAUUCAAUUCAUACUUACAAUUUCAUUGAAAGGUCAUAAUUACACAUGUUUUAAUGUUUAUUGUAAUUUGAAAAUAGGUACUAACUCCACUUGAGAAAUUUAGUGCAGGUUGAAUGUCCUUAUUUAUGAUUUUGCUAAAAUAUAUAUUCCGUUCAUCAUUCAUGCAUACAAUGAGCACCUUACACUUGCUGGUGGCUGUUGAUGAGAUGAUGAAGUGAGCAAAGGCAUCAACUUUCCAUCUCCCUUUCUUCACUUGGAAAACAAGUAAUUAUAUUAGCAUUUUACAUACAACUACAACUGGAUUUUUAUUAAGCUCAUAGUUUCAGAAAAUCGUUUUGGGUGCUUAACAAAUGUCUAAAGUAACCUUUUGCUUACAAAAUGCAAGGGGAAGAGGAAUUAAAACACAUGGACACACAUCCAGUGAACAUAUUGACAAAAUGUAGCAUAGAACAUGAAUGGUUCACGAUCAUUGAACUUCAACAUAUGAAAGGAACAUUACAUACAAGAUCGUUUUUGGAUUUCAAUUGAUAUUUUUUUCGUGGAGAUUUAUACAGAGAUUAUUGACGACAAAGUUCUUUUUCAGGAAAAACAACAAGCAGUGGCCAGGAAGCACCAGGACCUGCCAAGGAAGAAGUUGGGAAGAAGAUCAACAAACCUCAUACUUGAGAGAUGAGAGAUCAAAAAAGAGCUAAUCAGGGACAACUGUUUGUUCACCAAAUACAACCAUUUUAGGGCUUUUCUUCUAUCAAUUUUAGGCGCCAAUGAGACUUCACUUUGCAUCUGGAAUGAAAAAGGAAGCGCGCGUUCUUAUUUUUUCCCAUCAUACCCUCGUCACACCCUUCUCUUUUUUCUUGCGGCAUCAAAGAACAACCGCCUCCAUCCUCUCCUCGUAUCUCAUCGGACUUCAGCGUCGGCCUUCACACACCACAACCAUUUCACGUCAUCGUCGCACACCACUUUCUCCCUCCAAUUCCUCUCUGAUCUGCAACCACACUGAAGCCUAGGGUUUGAGUUGCCGGCACGACCAACCAUCAACGACCUCUUCAAUCUAUACCUCGGUGUAUGAAAUUAAUGUCUCCCCUUUUUGCGUUUAGUUAUUUCCUGUUCCCAGAAUCCAAUAGGCACCCACCCCAUCCUUCUCUCUCUAAAAUUGUUGUUGCAACACUCGAAGUUGAUUGGGCGUUGAUUGAUGACUAUUGCUGAUAAAACAGAUCGAGUUAUGCAGAAUCUUAAGUAUGUUUGCUUGAAUCGAAGGUAAUUUGCUCGAUUUCUCUGUGUUAUAGAUAUUGCAACUUUUGUGUAACUGUGAUGGAUUGAAUUCUGAAAUAUAAGUUUAUGAUCUUGUUUUUUUUGCUUGUUUGUUGAUUUCUGAAAUGUAUGUGUGUAUAGUUAAAAUAUGUUGCUGAAAUAUGCUGAGUUUGUGUUUAUUUGUUAAACAAUAUUGUUGAAAAUGUGCUCUUUGUUCUAAUUUUUUCUUUUUUGUUGAUAUGUGUGUA